GAGCACAUGACCAGAGAGAUGAAGACCUUGAACUCCGAGUGACCCUGGGACCAGAACUCUGGAUUCACUAAACCCCAGCAUCUCUAAGCCAGCAUCCUACCCAGAGAGCUCAUUCUCCAGACCUGACCAGCCAGUCUUCAGCCCCAGUUCCAGCACCAAAAGCACCCCGAUUUUACCCGGCCUGCUGCAUACUUCUAUAGCCUGGCUUUGCUUUUUUUUUUCCUCCCAACAUUAAUGUCCUUGUUUUAUCCUUUGGGUGACCUUCAAAGUCCUGGUGCCCACAGUGAGAUUCUACAUACCAGAAGAUACUAGUUGAGGACAUCAACUUACGUUUGGCUCCAAGGAGGGCAGGGGGUCUCAGAUGGGGAGGCUGACUUCUCUUACCUGAGAUGCUGCCAGCCAGGCCACUCUCCAUCCCUGCAGGCCUCCUACUGCAUCAGUGCUGGUGAGGUCUCAGCCCUGCCACCUGGGGGGUAAGAUGGGAGAAAAGAGAAAGAAUGGCCAAUGAAUGGGUC
rnacentral:lncRNA from 1 species